GCAAGAGAACAAGAUAAAGGCAGAGAGAGGGGAGAAAAAAGGGUGGGACAAAGAAAAGACGGAAGGGAAGGAAAUGGAGGGGAAGGGAGAUAAAAGCAGCAGGAGAGGAUGGAUGGAUGGAAGAAAUUAGAUAAAACAGUGAGUCUGAGAAGGAGAAAUGAACAUAAAAGGAUCUCAAUAGCAGGUGUGAAGACUGAGAGCAUACACUCUACGCUGUGAGGCAGAUAAUUAUAGCUCGUGAGUGAGUAAUAUUUAGUAAAGCUGACAGUAUGACAAAGGACGGUAAAAUGUCUCACAUGUAGAAAAAAAGUUCACACUUCCCUCCGUCACAGCAGUUUUAUCAUGUCUUUAACUACAAAACAAAGAUCUGACAGCGGAAGCCUUUAAGGGAAGCAGCACCAAAUUUAUUAGAUGUCUUUUGUCGCACUGCUGACAAAUGGCUAAGAUAAGAUGACAAUUCCCCUUAGGCUUUUAUAAAUAAACUUCAACCUAUCAGACAGUCAGAAGGAGCAGGGUUUAACGGUUUGAUCUACUGUAGAUCUUUUGUCUGGUCAGAUUCUCCGUACGUUUGCGCCCUAUCAAGCCGCCCCUGCCUCAGAAGCUGAAGUUUGGUCCGUCAAAGCUGUAAAGCCUGAAUGGAUUUUCAACUUAAGCAGACAUAAAACAUCGAGAGGAGAACUGACAACAAACAGGUGAAAGGUCAAGCUUACAUGGUUGACUUGCAGAGCUGAGAUGCACUAAAUAUACUCCGUUUAUCUGUUUCUCCACUAAAUGUCAGAACACUGUGAAAAAGGCCAGACAGAUGCCAGAAUACCAUGUUUGUUCUAACACAUUAUCAAGAAUUCAAACAUGUUUGAUAAAAUCCAGUCAAACUCCUUAAAUCAGGCGAUCAGGCUCUCACUGGCCGGCACCAUUUUUUGGGUUUUCUUUCACAUUUCGACCUGUUGAAUCGGAUUUUGUUAAUCUAACAAAACACAUACAAACACAUUUAUGCAAACUUUAUUUAAAAAAUGUGCAGUAACCUUUACCAUACAAAUUGUACUACAGAUUCUUUGAUAAAGGUAGUAGCUUUGGAACCUGCAGAAAUGAAGGAAUUACAAGAUGAUGAUCAUCCGUUUGCAUUGAAGCAAAGGAACUUAACUUUAUCUGACCUUUAAUAAACUUCAAACAAAGAGGAAAUCAGCAAACAUCAUGUGAACUGAUGCAUUACUGGAUAAAAAAAAAAAAACACUGCCAGAUUUCAUUUUUGACCAAAAGAAACCGUUAAUUACAGUAAGUUGGUUGAAAGAUGACUACUACAUGAUUUCCUCGCUUACAAGAAAGACAAAUGUGGCUGAUUGGAAAUAUUUCUGGUUAAAAAAAACACAGACAGGAAUGGCAUCAAGCUAAAGGGGUGCCACCUCUUACCAAUCACCUGGCACACAACCAGCUACUUACGAUCUCUACUGAAUUAGAUAUUCUGACUAGUUAAAUGGCUAAUAUAAGCCUGGCAUAAUGGCAUAAUAUUCUAAUAAAUAUAGGCUACAGAUAACUAUAACUAGAGCUGCACUAAUUUCCAGUUUUGCUUGUGAUUUGGUUGAAUGGCUUUUUUUUCUUCUAUGGACAUUAGCUCAUGAAAGAGAAAGGAGUCUGCUGUAAGUACGUCCACUUCGAGGGAAGUGAAAGAGGGAUGUUUAGUAGUGAUAGUGAAAAACUGGUUGAUUCAAAUUUCUUGACGAUUGGUGCAUCACUAACUAUAACUGUACUAAUCAACAUGUUAAAUUUUCUUAGUAGAAUUGGGAAGAUUUGUUUGUUUUCUGUUUAAAAUAAAAGAAAUGUCAUUCACUGUUGUGGGAUGUUUUGUGUUAAAACUGUAAAAAAAAAGAAAAAAAAAGGGGGUAUUAUUUAUUCAAGCUUAUCAUAUCAUGACAAUGACACAGAUACAUACACAUGAAUCCCAAUACUUUAUAUUAUCUGUGAUUAAUCUAAAUUAAUGAUCUCAGAUCUCAGUUCCUCUGCAUGUCCUUUGUCUUGAAAUGUCACCUUUCUGAUAACAUUAAAGUGUGCUGAAGUUUCAGUGUUCAUAAACAUCCUUCCGCAUUAAACUCAGUAAACAUGCACGCUGUAUUUUUCUGUCAAACUCUCCUCAUAUCAGAUUAAUGCGAGUCUCUUCUAGGGUACAGCCCCAGAUGUCUUGUCCAAAAAAGGUCUGGAAAGAAGCCGCAGCAGAAACGUAUCUCUGACAGUUACCAGCAUGUCACCUCAACUUCAUCAGCAGCCGAGUGUUGCAAAACAUGAAGCAUCCAGAACACCUGAUAACCGCGCUUAUCGCAGUAGCUCUCCAGAUUAGAUGCCGCAGGGGCUGAAACCCCCCUCCGCUUCCUUGCAUACCUCGCCAGCAGACAGACCAUGUUUGGUGAGCGCCGGUGCACGCAAGAUAAACGUUAAGCAUCGACGACGCGGGGUUGAGCAACGGAGCCGAGCUCGCAGCAGUGCUUUACUGGUGCGAAUCAGUGAUCCAUUGAGGCGCAGAGUGUGCAAGAGUGGGGAGGGAGGGCGUGAUGUUGUUCAGCAUGUGAGAAUCACACCAGCCAGGCUGUUGAACUUUGCCUCUUGUAAGGUUACAGUUUAUAUCUGGGCAGUUAAGAUUCAAGGAAAAAGCUAAUUUAAGAAGUGAUGCAGAAAAAACCCAACUCUCCUUCCUCUUCGCUUUACUGUACAAACAUCUACACCUCCUUGCAAACCUGUGCACAAGUGGACAAAAACAACCACCUAAAACUUUUCCCUCCACCUUCAGCUCAUGCAACACAAAUCAUUGUAGCAAAGACAAAGGGGUGCUGUCUAACCUUCUGUUAAUUUGUUUAAGUAAAUGUAAUUCUCCGCCAAUCUGGAUGAGAUCCAAACAAUUCUACAACAUUAGAUUCCUCUGGCUAUUACUCUCCCUGGCUCAGUGUCUGGCUUUCACACAGACAGCUCUCAUCUGGUGGCUCAGCACAGAAUUUUAAACAUCUGUCGAGCAAAUCAAGAUGCUUAUCAGUCAAACUGGACAAGCAAACAACUAUUUUAAUCAGAAACUCCGCUAAAGAUUGUAGUUAUAUUUCACCGAUAUUGAGUCAGGUGUUUUUGGGGGUUUUUUUUAUAUCUGAAACAAUUUACCAGAGGUCAAGGUCAUAAUAAUCGGAUAGUAUGUGGUCAAGAUUUUAAUAAAAAUUGCAAAAGGCAGCAGAAAGUCCCUUACCUAGAACAGCUGCAAAUCCUAACCAGAUGUUUUAGCUCUAAGUCAUAGUAUGCAACAGUAUGGUAAAAUGAGCACAGGAAGAGCUAAUUAACAUGAAUCAGAUCCCAAAAUGAGAGGUAAUAAACCUUUUUUUGUCCUUCAUUGAAAAACAAAGCAGCAGAAUCUAUUCUAAUUUACUAGAAUAUUUGAUUUUAGUGGGGGGUUGAAACUGACAAAGAAAUCUGAUUAAAAAAAUAAAUGUCCGUCAGCAUCAAAAGCAGCAUCUGUAUUUGCGAUUAAAAACCUACAUUGUAGAUGUCUAAUUAAAUGUUCCAUUUCUAAAAAAAGUAUAGUAUGUUCAAACCAACACGAAUGACAAUGCAAUCUGAUGCUGCCUCAGAUAAAAAAUGUUUUUGCUAUAUUUGAAUUUGACUAUAUUUAGGAUAGAAUUCAAAAUGAAUUGCAUUAAUUACAAGCUUGGGUUGUAGAUAAUUAGACAUGUAUUGACCUGUUUGUUUUGUAGUGAUGUGACAUGACACCUAUUGUCAACUGGUGCUAUAAAAAUAAACUAUACUGAAUCAAAUAUACGUUGCGGUUAAACAAUGGCUGUAAUUUCAACUUGCAAGGACAGAACCGUGUUCCAGCGGAUGGCCUUUCAAACAAUCCACCUCCUGAGACCAGUGGAAGUUUGAACUGAACUUCUCAGCUUCAGAGAACUUUGUUUCGUAUCCUUUACCUCAUCCAAGCAGUGCUGUGUAA